AAACACUCCAAUCCUCAUCGUCUUCCAGGACCUGCCAGGAAUGAAGAUAGCAGGGUUGCUGUUCCUCGGGUUCCAGGUGCCAGCAGCAUGGCUACAGCCAUUUUUCGGCCUUGGUCGUAGUUUUACUUUAUCGGUGGGCCACCGAUCCAUAGAGGGGGAGUAGGAUGUAACCGGGUGGUUUAUUGGUCGGGAACAGUGGAGUGGUUGUAAAUUCCUACCCAUUAAAUGUCCCUGAAUGCAUCUGUGCCCUAUUUCUCCACCUUCCUCGGCUUUGCAGCGUUGUUGGGCUCAUUAGUAGGUGUAUAUAGGCACCAGGUGUGCCUGCCAAGCUAGAAGUAGAUUGAACCUCACUUGGCUGACUACUGGAGCUGUUAACCUGCUGCACCAGGAAUUGGCAUCAGGAAAUUUGUGUUGCUGGGAUUAUUUCAGUGACUUCUCACUGCAGCAUCUGAAGGGUGCUGCUGCUGCAUAUUAUGCUCUCACCCAGGUGCAUGGUUAAUGCUCUGGGUUAAUUGAGAAAAGGGGUUGUUUAGAGCUGGAAUUGUAGCACCACACACAUUGAACCAGACAAUAGUAUGGGGUUGUUCUUUUAAAUUUUAUUAAAUAGCUGAUUUGGCACAGCUUUACAGGACUGGAUUGAUGCAGUUUGAGACUUGUUUUGUUUUUUUGGUUAUUUAACAUUAUUUUGUGUCUUUGGUUGUUACUAAUUUGGGUUGCAGUUGUUUGUGUUUAAUUCUCAGAUUGUUUCUAGUAUUGUCCUGUGUUCCUGUGCUUUAUUGGAUUUUAGAUUGGUAUAAUAAAGUCUAUUUUUAAUAUUGUAAAAGACUGUAGAAAUAAAACAUAUUUUGUAUACUA